AGGCUGCAGAGAAACAGGAACGUUUAUACACUAUUGUUGAAACUGCAAAUUAGUUCAGCCAUUGUGGAAAGCAGUUUGGAGAUUUCUCAAAGAACUUAAAACAGAGCUGCGAUUUGAUCCAGCAAUCCCACUACUG